UCUCCGUAGGUGAACCUGCGGAGGGAUCAUUACUGAGUGAGGGCCCUCGCGGUCCGACCUCCAACCCCAUGUUGUCCGACUCUGUUGCCUCGGGGGCGACCCUGCCGUUCGGCGCGGCGCCCCCGGAGGCUCAUCAAACACUGCAUCUCUGCGUCGGAGUCUUAAUGAAUUUAAACAAAACUUUUAACAACGGAUCUCUUGGUUCUGGCAUCGAUGAAGAACGCAGC
rnacentral:misc_RNA from 1 species